GCUGAACAUAACACAUAGCGUGAGACGAUCACGACUAAACUACACGAAAAGCAGAAUUCUCCUGUGUUUCAUGACACGCUUAACUUGGCUUUACUUUAGUGAAAAUGCACGAUUGCUCUCUAAACUUCACCAGCGCUAACAUCUGAACAAUAACCCAGCUACAUGUCAUGUUUUCCUAUUUUACAACACUAGGUGCAUUAUCACCGUACAUCACAGAGAAGUGUGCGCACAUCCCCCACUUCCUUCUGUGCGUGUCAAACGAGAGUUUGAGGUUUGGGUUGUCUAGACAACGAGUCCAUCUCGUGCGCGUAGCGUUCAGGAGAACGAGAGAGCGUCCUCCUGUUUGUCGAACAACCACGUACCCGGCAAAAAUGCUGAAUUCAAGCAUCGGAGGAAAGUGGCGGCAAAGAAAGCGUGUCUGAUAAUCUCAUUUCAGGUCAGGCGUGCGAUAUAUCGAAAGACUGUUUUACUUAUCGGCCUCUUAGCGAGCAAUUAGCAAGCCACCGCUUCGAACUCCUCUUUUAUGACAUUUAUGUGACUCAAUACCACACCCUCAUAUUGGACUCAAAGUAUAUGUAACAUGCUGAUGAAACACGCCAUAGCCAGCCCCCCUUCCCCUCAGGAAAGAGCUCUACGAGAACAUGCUUCAAAUCUUCAACUUAUUAAUAAGCCAUUGAUAAGAAUAAGCGCAUCAUCUUCCACCGAUGAUAGCGUCUCACCGACCAGCGCUGGUUUUUUUACAAAAAAAAAACAAUACACCAACUCACGGCGUAUCAUAUUUUUAAAGCCAUGCCGUCAGACUAUGUGGAAGCCUGAUGCAAUCCGAUCACAUGUUUACUGGACUUCCUCUUUACUUCUUUGUGUGAUUUUAUGUAUGCUGAAGACCGAGGGCUUUUCUCUCAUUUCUGAUCUGACUUUUAUCGGUUAAAAUGCCCUUAAAAGGAAUUGAUUCGAGUCCGUCUUCGAGCGAAACUCGCUGUAGUCCAAUAGGCGUGCAUUUGCGCUUCUUUAAGACAGCGACUGCAGGGCCUCUUCCUGUGGUUUGCACCAUGUGGCCUAAAAAGUGUUAAAAGGCGACAACUUCUUUCUCUUUUCGCUGUUGUUUCCGGGAUCAGGCGGGCAGAGAACUGGUUCAAGAAAUAGCUGUAAAACGGACAUUCGGAGCACAUGGAGAUAAGAGGAAGCGCGUGAAGAGAAGAGGCGGGAACGUCAGUGCAGUCACUCAUAAAGUAGACAGCACUACUAAAGGUCUCUACACGGUGUAGUGUUUCCUACUUUAUGGAUGAGUGUACUGUUUGCUGCGAAGGACGAUCUCGCGGAGAAACCAAGCGAUGCUGGAUUCCGAAUGACUUGUUUAUGAAUUGUUAAUAAAUGAUGGUGUUUUUCGA